rnacentral:rRNA from 1 species
UACGUAGGGUGCGAGCGUUAAUCGGAUUUACUGGGCGUAAAGGGGGCGUAGGCGGCCCGUUAAGACAGGUGUGAAAUCCCUGGGCUCAACCUAGGAAUUGCGCUUGUGACUGGCGGGCUCGAGUACGGUAGAGGGGGGUGGAAUUCCUGGUGUAGCAGUGAAAUGCGUAGAGAUCAGGAGGAACACCGAUGGCGAAGGCAGCCCCCUGGGCCUGUACUGACGCUCAUGCACGAAAGCGUGGGGAGCAAACAGG